rnacentral:tRNA from 1 species
GUGGGUGUAGCUCAGUGGUAGGGCGCAUGCUUAGCAUGUAUGAGGUCCUGGGUUCAAUCCCCAACACUUCCA